GAGUUUGAUCCUGGCUCAGGACGAACGCUGGCGGCGUGCCUAAUACAUGCAAGUCGAGCGAAUCAAUGGGAGCUUGCUCCCUGAGAUUAGCGGCGGACGGGUGAGUAACACGUGGGUAACCUGCCUGUAAGACUGGGAUAACUUCGGGAAACCGGAGCUAAUACCGGAUAAGUUCUUUUCUCGCAUGAGGAGAGAUGGAAAGAUGGUUUCGGCUAUCACUUACAGAUGGACCCGCGGCGCAUUAGCUAGUUGGUGAGGUAACGGCUCACCAAGGCGACGAUGCGUAGCCGACCUGAGAGGGUGAUCGGCCACACUGGGACUGAGACACGGCCCAGACUCCUACGGGAGGCAGCAGUAGGGAAUCUUCCGCAAUGGACGAUAGUCUGACGGAGCAACGCCGCGUGAGCGAAGAAGGCCUUCGGGUCGUAAAGCUCUGUUGUUAGGGAAGAACAAGUAUCGGAGUAACUGCUGGUACCUUGACGGUACCUAACCAGAAAGCCACGGCUAACUACGUGCCAGCAGCCGCGGUAAUACGUAGGUGGCAAGCGUUGUCCGGAAUUAUUGGGCGUAAAGCGCGCGCAGGCGGUCCUUUAAGUCUGAUGUGAAAGCCCACGGCUCAACCGUGGAGGGUCAUUGGAAACUGGGGGACUUGAGUGCAGAAGAGGAGAGUGGAAUUCCGCGUGUAGCGGUGAAAUGCGUUGAGAUUGUGGAGGAACACCAGUGGCGAAGGCGACUCUCUUGGUCUGUAAACUGACGCUUGAGGCGCCGAAAGCGUGCGGAGCAAACUCGGAUUAGAUACCCUGGGUAGUCCACGCCGUAAACGAUGAGUGCUAAGUGUUAAAGGGUUUCCGCCCCUUAGUGCUGCAGCUAACGCAUUAAGCACCUCCGCUUGGGAAGUUCU
rnacentral:rRNA from 1 species